GUGACUGCGUACCUUUUGUAUAAUGGGUCAGCGACUUAUAUUCUGUAGCAAGGUUAACCGAAUAGGGGAGCCGUAGGGAAACCGAGUCUUAACCGGGCGUUAAGUUGCAGGGUAUAGACCCGAAACCCGGUGAUCUAGCCAUGGGCAGGUUGAAGGUUGGGUAACACUAACUGGAGGACCGAACCGACUAAUGUUGAAAAAUUAGCGGAUGACCUGUGGCUGGGGGUGAAAGGCCAAUCAAACCGGGAGAUAGCUGGUUCUCCCCGAAAGCUAUUUAGGUAGCGCCUCGUGAACUCAUCUCCGGGGGUAGAGCACUGUUUCGGCUAGGGGGCCAUCCCGGCUUACCAACCCGAUGCAAACUGCGAAUACCGGAGAAUGUUAUCACGGGAGACACACGGCGGGUGCUAACGUCCGUCGUGAAGAGGGAAACAACCCAGACCGCCAGCUAAGGUCCCAAAGUCAUGGUUAAGUGGGAAACGAUGUGGGAAGGCCCAGACAGCCAGGAUGUUGGCUUAGAAGCAGCCAUCAUUUAAAGAAAGCGUAAUAGCUCACUGGUCGAGUCGGCCUGCGCGGAAGAUGUAACGGGGCUAAACCAUGCACCGAAGCUGCGGCAGCGACACUGUGUGUUGUUGGGUAGGGGAGCGUUCUGUAAGCCUGCGAAGGUGUCCCGUGAGGGAUGCUGGAGGUAUCAGAAGUGCGAAUGCUGACAUAAGUAACGAUAAAGCGGGUGAAAAGCCCGCUCGCCGGAAGACCAAGGGUUCCUGUCCAACGUUAAUCGGGGCAGGGUGAGUCGACCCCUAAGGCGAGGCCGAAAGGCGUAGUCGAUGGGAAACGGGUUAAUAUUCCCGUACUUGGUGUUACUGCGAAGGGGGGACGGAGAAGGCUAUGUUGGCCGGGCGACGGUUGUCCCGGUUUAAGCGUGUAGGCUGGUUUUCCAGGCAAAUCCGGAAAAUCAAGGCUGAGGCGUGAUGACG
rnacentral:rRNA from 1 species